rnacentral:lncRNA from 1 species
UAUUGGCUAUCAAUAAAGUACCUGCUAUGACGUUCGAGUUUUCCUCUGCAUCUUUCUGAGUCAUUGCAAAAACUCGUGCUUUCCCUUUCUGGUUCUGGUCAUUGUUAUCAUCCUUCUUCGGGGUAAAUAUGGGGCAAUCCUUAAAAAUAUGCCCUGGCUUGCCACAUCUGAAACAAACAUUCUUCCCUUGCAAACACAUGCCACGAUGCGUCUUUCCACACUUAGGACAUGGCUCUAUAACUGGCACAAUGCUCUUGUUGGCAUUGGC